rnacentral:rRNA from 1 species
UACGAAGGGGGCGAGCGUUGUUCGGAAUUACUGGGACGGUAAAGGGCGCGCAGGCGGCCCUUGAAGUCAGGCGUUGAAAGCCCCGGGCUCAACCUGGGAGGUGCGCUUGAUACUCGAGGCUUGGAGUGCGGAGAGGAGAGUGGAAUUCCCAGUGUAGAGGUGAAAUGCGCAGAUAUCAGGAGGAACACCGGUGGCGAAGGCGGGUCUCUGGGCCGAUACUGACGUGAGGAGCGAAGCG